AGCAGAUCAGUGAAGUCUAUUCCUCAACUCACAUCAUCCUAAGAACUAAAUGACAUAAUCCAUAUAAAGCAGCAGCAGCUUGGUUUUUGGAGCAAGCAUCCAGCACAGGGUCCCUGGAACAGAUUAGGUGUUUAAUAAGUAGGAGUUGAGUUGAUCUGGACCAUUGCUGAGUCACUUCGGGAAUCCUACAGCAGCUUGAGGCCACCUCCAAAAUACCAAACAGGAUCCCCAACAGCAGAUGUCCCUAAAUAUGGUGAUGAAGAGAUAUCCACAAAAGCAACCACAUAAGGAUGUUCAAGCUGUUCACAAGCCAUCCAUCCAUGGAAUCAUCUGUCUGUAAAUCACGCUGCUCAGAGAAAUAGGAUCAUCAUUCCAGACAGUAGUUAUGCUUGCCAGAGCACAUUCAGGAGUUGGUCACAUGAACACUCUGGCUGGAAGCCAUGGCUAGGGCCUAAAUUAGCUCUGAUACUGGAAAGGGAACUUAGCCCAUGCCUGGAUAUUGGGCAAACAAAGGCAAAAACACCUGCUUACCCAUGAGAAUGAAGCAAGCAGCUGUAGUUAAUAAGCCCUAUACAUUAUAGGUGUAUAUAAAAUGAUCACAUUGACCAAAAAGAUUCAUCACUUCUUUUGUUUGUUUCUUUUUGGCUUUGUAUGCUCUGAAAGAAUAUUUGUCUAAGUCUGACCUCCCAGUUAGAGUACCCACGCCCACUAAAGCUCAGACAUUCUUCUUUACAGCACUUAAUAGAACUUUUUGUUUGCAGUGAACUUGACAAUUAGAAUGUGAGCCCCAUGAGGGCAAGGACCGGGUCCAUCCUGUUCACCAUCAUGUUCCUAGGAUCCAAAUGCCUGCCCAGAGUCAGACUCUUGAUAGAAAUUUGUCAAAGGGAAAAAAAGAGAAAGCAAUGUGUUGAAGGAGUAUGUACAUGUAUGAAUAUUCUAAAACCACUUAUUGAUUAGAUGGCACACAUGGGGAGCUGUGCUAAGUGCAGAUUAGGCAGAUGAAUGGAAUCAGAAGCCAUCAGAGCCAUGCCUGCUUAAUCAAUUAAUAGCAAUAUUUACCAGUUUGAUUAAAGAACUGGAAAACUCUAAGACCAACACAAGAGCUAAUUCUGGAUGCCUCGCCCCCCACCCCACCCGUACCCCAAGCCACAUUCCAUACCACAGUUACGGUCCUUGUGUGAUGUUGCCAUGCCAAGGAGCUUCCGAGGAGUUGCUUUCAGGCUAAGGAAUGAGCACCAGCUCAAUAAAAUAGA